GUUAAAUUAAAAUAUUUAUAAUAAAAUAUCCUUCUUCUAUUGAUUGUCAGCAUUAGGAUUUUGUCCCUACAAAAUGAUAUAUAUAUUGCAGAAGAUUAAAUCAUUAAAGUUUAGCACAGGAUCAGGAGACAAAAAUUUAAAAACUCUUUUUUUGGUUAAUUUUUAAUAACAUUUUCAUCUCAAACUGAUUGAAAACUAAUUGGAUAACUUUGUCAGAUCGAAUUUGAUUUCUUAUUCUAUAAAAUUACAAAAUCUAUGAAAUAUCUACAAAUGUCAUGCAUGACAAUACAGAUGACAGUGACAUUUCAAAAAAACGUAGAACUGAAGUUUAGUCCGGAAACAGCAGUACCUCAAGACUUAAUCUGUUUGAUUUGAAUUACAAAUUUAUUGAAAAUGGCCACCAAUAACGUUCCAUCUGGGGAAAAUGCUAAUCCGGAUACCUGUUCCAUAUGCUACAAUGAGAUUCCAAGUGAGAAUUGUCCCUCAUACGGAGUUCUUACCGACUGUGACCAUAUCUUCUGUUAUGGCUGCAUCACAACAUGGAAAAAUUAUUGCAAUGUACCAAACAACUGUGUAAGUUGUCCUAUGUGCAGAACUAUAUCGACGUUCAUUUUCCGUUCCGAAUAUUUCCCCAAGGACCGCCUAACGAAAUACAUGUUCCUGUUAAUGAGAUACUGUGAUUUAUGUUAUACAUAUAGAUUAUAAAAUAGGGUAAAUAAUUUUUGUCUCUUAGUUCUGCAUUAUAUCCUAAUAGGGUGCAUAUUCAUAGUGGGAAACUUUUUUAAACAAACUAGGCUCCGCUUGUACAACCUAUUAGGUUAUUCCUGCUGUUUUAUCGAAUUGUUUUUUUCUGUGUUAUUUAGUUAAAUUAAAAUAUUUAUAAUAAAAUAUCCUUCUUCUAUUGAUUGUCAGCAUUAGAAUUUUGUCCCUAUAAAAUGAUAUAUAUUGCAGAAGAUUAAAUCAUUAAAGUUUAGCACAGGAUCAGGAGACAAAAAUUUAAAAACUCUUUUUUUGGUUAAUUUUUAAUAACAUUUUCAUCUCAAACUGAUUAAAAACUAAUUGGAUGACUUUGUCAGAUCGUAUUUGAUUUCUUAUUCUAUAAAAUUACAAAAUCUAUGAAAUAUCUACAAAUGUCAUGCAUGACAAUAUAGAAGACAGUUAAUGACAUUUCAAAAAAAAAACGUAGAACUGAAGUUUAGUCUCUAAACAAUAGUACCCCACUACUUAAUCUGUUUGAUUUGGAUUACAAAUCUAUUGA